rnacentral:piRNA from 1 species
UCCCUUUGGUGAGUAUGGUGUUCAGGAUGU